rnacentral:piRNA from 1 species
UAACAGCUUGUGAAACUAGAAUCCUUC